rnacentral:rRNA from 1 species
GACGAACGCUGGCGGCGUGCCUAAUACAUGCAAGUCGAGCGGAUUGAUGGGAGCUUGCUCCCUGAUAUCAGCGGCGGACGGGUGAGUAACACGUGGGCAACCUGCCUAUAAGACUGGGAUAACUUCGGGAAACCGGAGCUAAUACCGGAUAAUCCCUUUCCUCUCAUGAGGAAAGGCUGAAAGAUGGUUUACGCUAUCACUUAUAGAUGGGCCCGCGGCGCAUUAGCUAGUUGGUGAGGUAACGGCACACCAAGGCAACGAUGCGUAGCGGACCUGGGAGGGUGAUCGGCCACACUGGGACUGAGACACGGCCCAGACUCCUACGGGAGGCAGCAGUAGGGAAUCUUCCGCAAUGGACGAAAGUCUGACGGAGCAACGCCGCGUGAGUGAUGAAGGUUUUCGGAUCGUAAAACUCUGUUGUUAGGGAAGAACAAGUACGAGAGUAACUGCUCGUACCUUGACGGUACCUAACCAGAAAGCCACGGCUAACUACGUGCCAGCCGCCGCAGUAA